CUACCGGCAUCGAAAGGUGCUGGGAGGCUCAUGCAGAAGUCAGCAGAGGCCAUAGUAGGUGUCAGUGCGAACCGAAGGGC
rfam:Betaproteobacteria bacterium RIFCSPLOWO2_12_FTLL_64_23 rifcsplowo2_12_scaffold_9736, whole genome shotgun sequence.